UACGUAGGGUGCGAGCGUUAAUCGGAAUUACUGGGCGUAAAGCGUGCGCAGGCGGCGCGUUAGACAGGUGUGAAAGCCCCGAGCUUAACUUGGGAAUGCGCUUGUGACUGGCGUGCUGGAGUGUGGCAGAGGGAGGUGGAAUUCCACGUGUAGCAGUGAAAUGCGUAGAGAUGUGGAGGAACACCGGAUGGCGAAGGCAGCCUCCUGGGCCAGCACUGACGCUCGAUGCACGAAGCGUGGGGAGCAAACAGG
rnacentral:rRNA from 1 species